CACAAGCCUGCCCCUGCCCUCUCAGGUAGACUGGGCUGGAAUGGCUCAGGGCCCUGCCCACCAUUAGAAAUAUGGCAGGCAAGAGUUGCUGAAGGUCUGAGGUCCAAAGAGCAUUUACACUUGUAUGAAGACCCAGGUGCUUCCAUGAAGCCGUGUCUGCUGAUGCAGGCUCUUCUUCCCACCCAUUCAUCCUGUACAACACGUGGUGGACCUUUUCAAACUAUUCAGGAGCUCACAGUGUAAGAGACUAAGCCGUGUGACCUUUCCUAGGGGGGAGCAGCCUGUCCUGGCCACAUCGAAUGAAUGGGCAUUGUCCAAGUGGCUCAGUGAUAAAGAACCCACCUGCCAAUGCAGAGGGCACAGGUUCAACCCCUGGUCUGGGAAGACAUCGCAGAUGCCCGCAGAGCAAAUAAGUUCAUGGGCCAUCACUACGGAGCCUGCGCUCUAGAGCCCAGGAACUGAAAUUAUCGAGCCCACGUGGCCUAGAGCUCCGUGCUCCCCAACAAGAGAAGUUAUCGCAAUGAGAAGCCCUCACACACCA